rnacentral:rRNA from 1 species
GGAAUAUUCCACAAUGGGGGAAACCCUGAUGGAGCGACGCCGCGUGAGUGAAGAAGGGCUUCGGCUCGUAAAGCUCUUUUCUCGUUGACGAAUUAGCUCUUGGGGCAGUUGACGGUAGACGGGGAAUAAGCCACGGCUAACUACGUGCCAGCAGCCGCGGUAAUACGUAGGUGGCAAGCGUUAUCCGGAUUUAUUGGGCGUAAAGCGAGCGCAGGCGGUUUCUUAAGUCUGAUGUGAAAGCCUUCGGCUUAACCGAAGAAGUGCAUCGGAAACUGGGAAACUUGAGUGCAGAAGAGGACAGUGGAACUCCAUGUGUAGCGGUGAAAUGCGUAGAUAUAUGGAAGAACACCAGUGGCGAAGGCGGCUGUCUGGUCUGUAACUGACGCUGAGGCUCGAAAGCAUGGGUAGCGAACA